UACAGAGGGUGCGAGCGUUAAUCGGAAUUACUGGGCGUAAAGCGUGCGCAGACGGUUGCGUAAGUCAGAUGUGAAAGCCCCGGGCUCAACCUGGGAAUUGCAUUUGAGACUGCGUAGCUAGGGUGCGGAAGAGGGAAGCGGAAUUUCCGGUGUAGCGGUGAAAUGCGUAGAUAUCGGAAGGAACACCGGUGGCGAAAGCGGCGCGCUGGAUCUCUUCUGACGCUGAGGCGCGAAAGCCAGGGGAGCAAACGGG
rnacentral:rRNA from 1 species